rnacentral:lncRNA from 1 species
AAGGAAAGAGAAGAAUAAAGGGCGUGACUAGCCUGAAGUCAUGUAGUGAGUUCACGACACAAGUGGAUUCCACUGGGGUCUUCAGACACUCAGAUUGGUGUUCUUUCCACUGAAGGGAAUUGCAUGCUUCAGGAGUCCAGGCUCAAGAGGACCUCUGACCCAAUUUCAGAACUGACUUUGAUUCUUCACUUCAGAUGGAAAUUAAGAUUGUGGAGAAGCCACGUCACCUGCUACUGCUCCCCCGAUUCUCUUUUGCUGGCGGCUUUGUAGUUUGGAACAACGUGCAAUGGGCCGAGGUCCCAGGGAACUCUGAGCUGGAGGUUGGAGCAUCACCAAAGAGGAGUGGAAAACUUGAUCUGGUUGCCAUGGAGACCAGCCACUGACUUCAGAGUGCCUGUUUAUUAAAGAUGAAAGUAAUGUAUGCCUGGCUGAUCUGAGCAGCUGUCAGAGAUUCGGCUGUUAGCAGAGGAAGUCACUAAUUUCGAGGCAUAAUCACUCAUCUAAGAGAGAGACGGCCCCCCUUCAUCUUCCGCGUGGAGCUGGGCUGUGUGGGUAAGGUCUGCCCCAGCAGGCGUUUCUUGUUCUUUUUUUUUUUUUUUUUUGGUUGUUUAUUUUAUGACUAAUAUGGUAACUGUACUUCUUUUCUCCCUUAUUUCCUACUGAAAAUAUAUAGCCUUACUGUCGUGUGAUAGCUUAAUUCAGCUUCGUGGGCAGGCC